GACGAACGCUGGCGGCGUGCUUAACACAUGCAAGUCGAACGGAAAGGCCUGCUUUCCCUUGUGGAUUGCGGGUACUCGAGUGGCGAACGGGUGAGUAACACGUGAGUGAUCUGCCCCCAACUUGGGUAUAAGCCUGGGAAACUGGGUCUAAUUCCCGAUAGGACUGCAGGGUGGUGCCUGUGGUGGAAAACGAUUUUCUAGUGGUUAGGGAUGAGCUCGCGGCCUAUCAGCUUGUUGGUGGGGUAAUGGCCUACCAAGGCGGCGACGGGUAGCCGGCCUGAGAGGGUGGACGGCCACAUUGGGACUGAGAUACGGCCCAGACUCCUACGGGAGGCAGCAGUGGGGAAUAGUGCACAAUGGGCGGAAGCCUGAUGCAGCGACGCCGCGUGGGGGAUGACGGCCUUCGGGUUGUAAACUCCUUUCGACCGCGAGGAAGCCACCUGGUUGGAAGGGUGGUGACGGUAGUGGUAGAAGAAGCACCGGCUAACUACGUG
rnacentral:rRNA from 1 species